UGCUGCGGUGAAUACGUUCCCGGGUCUUGUACACACCGCCCGUCACACCAUGGGAGCCGGUAAUACCCGAAGUCAGUAGUCUAACCGCAAGGAGGACGCUGCCGAAGGUAGGAUUGGCGACUGGGGUGAAGUCGUAACAAGGUAGC
rnacentral:rRNA from 1 species